rnacentral:tRNA from 1 species
GCUGGCGUAGCUCAACGGUAGAGCUCCCGCUUUGUAAGCGGAUGGUUGCGAGUUCGAAUCUCGCCGCCAGCUCCA